rnacentral:rRNA from 1 species
AGUGAACGCUGGCGGCAGGCCUAACACAUGCAAGUCGAACGGCAGCACAGUAGGAGCUUGCUCUUACGGGUGGCGAGUGGCGGACGGGUGAGGAAGACAUCGGAAUCUACAUUUUCGGGGGGGAGAACGUAGGGAAAGUUACUCUAAUACAGCAUACGACCUACUGGUGAGAGAAGGGGAUGUUCGGAGCUUGCGCGUAGGAAUGAGCCGAUGUCGGUUUAGCUAGUUGGCGGGGUAAAGGCCAGCCAAGGCGAAGAUCAGUAGCUGGUCGGAGAGGAUGAUCAGCCCCACUGGAACUGAGACACGGUCCAGACUCCUACGGGAGGCCGCACUGGGGACUAUCGGACAACGGGCGCAAGCCUGAUCCAGCCAUACCGCGUGGGCGAAGACGGCCUUCGGGUUGUAAAGCCCUUUUGUUGGGAAAGAAAAGCAGCAGGUUAAGACCCCGCUGUUCUGCCGGAACCCAAAGAAUAAGCACCGGCAACCUUCGC